AGCUCCAGGCAAGCCACCUCUCACUCCAGGUUACCAUGGCCACCAGCAGUGACUAAAUAGACCUUCCUUUCUCCAUUAUCCCUGAGAGCAAAGGAAGCUGAAAUUAACAGCAAGGAGCUCCAGGCUGGUGAAAUCAAUACUCACACACAAAAGUAUCUUCCAUUAGGUAUCACUAAGGAUGGGUGCCAGCCAGGGACUCACCCUGCUCCAAGACAGUCCUACCAGGCUAGUGCAGCAUUUUCACAGAUUUGUUUAUGAAGAUUCCACAUGGACAUAUCUCUCACAUCACUGAUAAUUGCUUCAAAGUUGAAUUUUUUAGCAUUAUCACAGCUCACUUAUGUAGAAGAGCAGGCAAGGAAGGUGCCCAGAGAGAAAAGCAAAGCAGAACAUGGCAUCUCUUUGCCUGUGAUCUAGAACAUAGCAGUAGAUCCCUUUCCUUCCAAAUGAAAGAAGUUUCUCCCCUAUGAAUUCAUCUGUCUACCCAUUCAGCAACUGAAAUAGCAUUGAAAGGCACCAGUGACUAUGAUCUUCAAUGCGGAUACAGAAGGAAUGAAUCCUGGGCUCCACUUUCUCUAUUUGUCCCAAAGGAAGCAGCUAUAUCUGGGUGGAGGUUCACAAUGGUUGAGUGGAAAGAACUCUGGAUUUUGCUGGAGAACAGUAAUCCUCCAGCCAGCCCAAAGAGCUCAGUAACACCGAACUAAGCAAGUCUGAGGCCAGAACUGGUAGAGGCCACAGGUGUCCAUUGAAGGGUGUCCAAGCUUGACCCAUCUAACAUAAAUUGCAUGCCUUGUGAGGAAUCAUUUCAGCAACAGAGCAACGUGCUUGGUCUAGAUCAACUUCUCCAGCAGAAAUUCUACAUGUCUUGUGAAAAGCAAACCCAGCUGAGCCACCUGUCCAGAUGAAAUGCCAUCCCCUGUGGGGAACCAACAUAGAACUCUAGCAGCUGACGCACCAUCUGGUCCUAGCCUCAAUAUCAGUGAACUUCAUGAGACCUCUCAAGUGAGAAAAAUGACAUCAGUGCUCAAAAGUAUUGAUCCAUGUGAUCUGUGGGCCUCAAAACCAUUGUACUUUAAAGUUUGUACCUAAUCUCCUG